UAUUAAAAACUUUAAUCAUUUCUACUAUUAAAAACAGGUGCAACUGAUAGAAUAACCAGCUAGUUACAUAUGGCAUGCCACGUGUACCUCAUUUUGACGUACAGGGACUAAUUUUUAACAAUAAAAACAAAUGAAACUUUUAGUA
rfam:Gossypium raimondii Chr10_contig_28, whole genome shotgun sequence.